rnacentral:rRNA from 1 species
AACGAACGCUGGCGGCAUGCCUAACACAUGCAAGUCGAACGAGACCUUCGGGUCUAGUGGCGCACGGGUGCGUAACGCGUGGGAACCUGCCUUUAGGUUCGGAAUAACUCAGAGAAAUUUGAGCUAAUACCGGAUGAUGUCUUCGGACCAAAGAUUUAUCGCCUUUAGAUGGGCCCGCGUUGGAUUAGCUAGUUGGUGGGGUAAAGGCCUACCAAGGCGACGAUCCAUAGCUGGUCUGAGAGGAUGAUCAGCCACACUGGGACUGAGACACGGCCCAGACUCCUACGGAAGGGAGCAGUGGGGAAUAUUGGACAAUGGGCGAAAGCCUGAUCAAGCAAUGCCGCGUGAGUGAUGAAGGCCGUAGGGUUGUAAAGCUCUUUUACCCGAGAUGAUAAUGACAGUAUCGGGAGAAUAAGCUCCGGCUAACUCCGUG